rnacentral:rRNA from 1 species
GACGAACGCUGGCGGCGUGCUUAACACAUGCAAGUCGAACGAUGAAGCCGGAGCUUGCUCUGGUGGAUUAGUGGCGAACGGGUGAGUAACACGUGAGUAACCUGCCCUUGACUCUGGGAUAAGCGUUGGAAACGACGUCUAAUACCGGAUACGAGCUAGGACCGCAUGGUCACUAGCUGGAAAGAACUUCGGUCAAGGAUGGACUCGCGGCCUAUCAGUUAGUUGGUGAGGUAACGGCUCACCAAGACGACGACGGGUAGCCGGCCUGAGAGGGUGACCGGCCACACUGGGACUGAGACACGGCCCAGACUCCGACGGGAGGCAGCAGUGGGGAAUAUUGCUCAAUGGGCGCAAGCCUGACGCAGCAACGCCGCGUGAGGGACGACGGCCUUCGGGUUGUAAACCUCUUUUAGCAGGGAAGAAGCGAAAGUGACGGUACCUGCAGAAAAAGCACCGGCUAACUACGUGCCAGCCGCCGCAGUAAAAC